AGAUUGCAGGCUGCAACUCGCCUGCAUGAAGUCGGAAUUGCUAGUAAUCGCAGAUCAGCAUGCUGCGGUGAAUGCGUUCCCGGGUCUUGUACACACCGCCCGUCACACCACGGAAGUUGGGGGCGCCCGAAGCCACUUAGCUAACCCUUUUGGGAAGCGAGUGUCGAAGGUGAAAUCAAUAACUGGGGUGAAGUCGUAACAAGGUACC
rnacentral:rRNA from 1 species